rfam:Schistosoma mansoni strain Puerto Rico chromosome 2, complete genome
AUCCAGCUGACGAGUCACAAAUGGGACGAAAUGGCACGCGUCCUGGAU